AGUGAACGCUGGCGGUAGGCCUAACACAUGCAAGUCGAACGGCAGCACAGUAAGCGCUUGCUCUUACGGGUGGCGAGUGGCGGACGGGUGAGGAAUACAUCGGCAUCUACUUUUUCGAGGGGGAUAACGUAGGGAAAAUUACGCUAAUACCGCAUACGACCUACGGGUGAAAGCAGGAGAUCUUCGGACCUUGCGCGAGUGAAUGAGCCGAUGUCGGAUUAGCUAGUUGGCGGGGUAAAGGCCCACCAAGGCGACGAUCCGUAGCUGGUCUGAGAGGAUGAUCAGCCACACUGGAACUGAGACACGGUCCAGACUCCUACGGGAGGCAGCAGUGGGGAAUAUUGGACAAUGGGCGCAAGCCUGAUCCAGCCAUACCGCGUGCGUGAAGAAGGCCUUCGGGUUGUAAAGCCCUUUUGUUGGGAAAGAAAAGCAGCAGGUUAAUACCCCGCUGUUCUGACGGUACCCAAAGAAUAAGCACCGGCUAACUUCGUG
rnacentral:rRNA from 1 species